GAUGAACGCUGGCGGCGUGCCUAAUACAUGCAAGUCGAGCGAACGGACGAGAAGCUUGCUUCUCUGAUGUUAGCGGCGGACGGGUGAGUAACACGUGGAUAACCUACCUAUAAGACUGGGAUAACUUCGGGAAACCGUAGCUAAUACCGGAUAAUAUUUUGAACCGCAUGGUUCAAAAGUGAAAGACGGUCUUGCUGUCACUUAUAGAUGGAUCCGCGCUGCAUUAGCUAGUUGGUAAGGUAACGGCUUACCAAGGCAACGAUGCAUAGCCGACCGGAGAGGGGGGUCGGCCACACGGGAACGGAGACACGGUCCAGACUCCUACGGUAGGCAGCAGUAGGGAAUCUUCCGCAAUGGGCGAAAGCCUGACGGAGCAACGCCGCGUGAGUGAUGAAGGUCUUCGGAGCGUAAAACUCUGUUAUUGGGGAAGAACAUAUGUGUAAGUAACUGUGCACAUCUUGACGGUACCUAAUCAGAAAGCCACGGCUAACUACGUG
rnacentral:rRNA from 1 species